rnacentral:tRNA from 1 species
UCCGACUUAGCUCAGUGGUAGAGCAGGCGGCUGUUAACCGCCUGGUCGCUGGUUCAAGUCCAGCAGUCGGAGCCA